CAAAGGCUUGGUCCUGACUUUACUAUCAGCUAUAACCCAAUUUAUACAUGCAAGCCUCCGCGCCCCCGUGAGAAUGCCCUCAACCCCUUGCCCAGGGGUGAGGAGCGGACAUCAGGCACACCUACACCGCCCAAAACGUCUUGCUAUGCCACACCCCCAAGGGAAAUCAGCAGUAAUAAACAUUAAGCCAUUAGUGAAAACUAGACUUAGUUAGGGUUACUUUAAGGGUCGGUAAAAUUCGUGCCAGCCACCGCGGUUAUACGAAAGACCCUAGUUGAUACACACGGCGUAAAGGGUGGUUAAGGAUAACACACAAUAAAGCCAAAGAUCUUCUAAGCCGUUAUACGCACCCCGAAAGUCACGAGGCCCAGAUACGAAAGUAGCUUUAAGACAAGCCUGACCCCACGAAAGCUAAGAAACAAACUGGGAUUAGAUACCCCACUAUGCCUAGCCUUAAACCCAGAUGCACAAAUACGACCGCAUCCGCCCGGAUACUACGAGCACAGCUUAAAACCCAAAGGACUUGGCGGUGUCUCAGACCCACCUAGAGGAGCCUGUUCUAUAACCGAUAACCCCCGUUAAACCUCACCACUUCUUGUAUAAACCGCCUAUAUACCGCCGUCGUCAGCUUACCCUGUGAAGGCCCAACAGUAAGCAAAAUGGGCACGCCCAAAAACGUCAGGUCGAGGUGUAGCGCACGAAGUGGGAAGAAAUGGGCUACAUUUUCUGUCACAGAAAAUUACGAAUAGUACUCUGAAACAUAGUACUUAAAGGUGGAUUUAGCAGUAAAAAGCAAACAGAGAGUCCAUUUGAAUAAGGCUCUGAGACGCGCACACACCGCCCGUCACCCUCUCCGCCACACACCCAUUACACAUUCCUAAUACCUCUUAAUAAACUCAGGAGAGGCAAGUCGUAACAUGGUAAGUGUACCGGAAGAUGCACUUGGAUUAAC
rnacentral:ncRNA from 1 species